AUGAUUGAGGUGUUUGCUGACAUCCGUUCCAGUGACCCUGGGUUCACCUAUGUGGUGUUGUCCAACAAGUCAAGCAAGGUGAAAAAUCUGGCGUGGGCUAAUGGGAGCAGCCGAAUGCAGUACAAGUUCUUUAGUGAUGUGGUCACAUUUGACACUACAUACUGGACAAACCUGUAUGACAUGCCAUUUGGGUUAUUCGUGGGAGUUAACAAUCACUAUCAAAGCAUUAUUCUGGCAGUGGUGUUGAUGCGUGAUGAGCAAGAAGAGAGCUUCGUAUGGGUGUUUGAAGAAUUUUUGCGUAUGAUGGGCGGCCCUGCCCUGAAAACAAUACUCACAGGAAGCUGGAGAUGGAAAGGAAACAAGUCAACAAUUGUUUGUUUGGCACACCAUCAUUAUGAAUUACAUAGGCACACAACGUAG
rnacentral:rRNA from 1 species